rnacentral:rRNA from 1 species
UACGUAGGGACCAAGCGUUGUUCGGAUUUACUGGGCGUAAAGGGCGCGUAGGCGGCAUGACAAGUCACUUGUGAAAUCUCCGGGCUUAACUCGGAACGGUCAAGUGAUACUGUCGCGCUAGAGUGCGGAAGGGGCAAUCAGAAUUCUUGGUGUAGCGGUGAAAUGCGUAGAUAUCAAGAGGAACACCUGAGGUGAAGACGGGUUGCUGGGCCAACACUGACGCUGAGGCGCGAAAGCCAGGGGAGCAAACGGG